UGGCCCCUCCUCUUCUCUCCCUGUAUCUUCUCUUCUGUCUUUCAGCAAGGACACUCACUUCUCUUUGCAUUUAGGGCCCACAAAGAGGGUCCUAGCCAGCUGCAUCAUCUCCAGCCUGGACCUGUCCUUACCAAGUCAUCAGUGCAGAUGUUUCUAGGAACUGAGGAAUGUGAGGGGAGCCAUCAAACCCUGCCUGAGCCAUUUUCUACUUCUCUGACAGCUCUCAGGGGACUCCCAUCUUCAAAGAGUGCCUCGGUGCUUUUCCUCUUCAUCUCCUGGGACUGUUGAGAGAGAACUUAAUGUCCAAAGGAGUCCCCAAGGAGCCACAUGCUGCUUGAAUUAUGUAAAGCUGUCACAUUGAGAGCAGCCCUGUGGAGAGGCCCACAUGGCCUGGAGCUGAGGGUGGCCUCUGGCCAAUGGCCCGUGAGGAACCAAAUUCUGCCAAUGAUCAUCUUCCUUCAUCACUGUCUCAUCACAUCAAAUAUGGCUGAAGUGGAACUGAUGGCCCCAUGCUACAUGACACCUUCCUUUCCCCAGAAGAUGACAGCAGCUUUUAAGACUGGAGACUCUGAGAAAGCCCCACCCAUCCUAGAGUGAUGGCUUUCAUUGUCAAAGAAAGAGUGCCUUUUGGAGGCCAUUGGAAUCUUAUGGCCACGGUGACCUGUUCCAUUUCUUAAAUCUCUCAUUUCUUGCACUUUUUAGAGUCCAUUUUCAUGAGAAACUGUCUAUCGAUGAAAUAAGGAAGAAAGAGCAGGAACCCCGUGAUCUCUUGCAGUUUCUCUUGUAGCUCAGGUGUUUGAGUCUAGGAUGACUGGUUUUGCAAAUUCUCUGUCUGUGAAAAGUUCAUUUUAAGAUCCACUGUGGUAGAAAUUGCCAAAUGAAUUGAAAUUUCCAUUCUAUAUGAGUAGCUGGUAUUUUGAGCAGUUUUAGGUACUUGAGCUCUGCUUGUCUGACCUUGGGCUGCACCAUGAUGAUAUCUGAGCAACCAUUCUCUUAGUGUGUGUUGGCUCAUGGUGCCUGGCUGGGUGAAGUGAAUGUAGUACCCACUGGUACCAUUCCCGAGGCCAGAGUUCCUGUCCCCAAGGGGUUCAGAGUCUAGGAGUGGAGACAUAAUGUCAGUAUGAUGCUGUGAGUGUGGAGUAGAAGUGUGCAGGAGAUGUUAUGGUGACAGAGAGGAGGAUUCUCUGGUCCAUUCCUGUGGAAGGAAGGAAAGGCUGGAAAAUUUCUUAAAGAGAUAUAUUCAAGUAAAGUUGAAAAGGGUAAGUAAGAGUUAGCCAGAAAAAGCAGAAGCAUGGGAUGCAUAAGGAAGAAAAGUCAACAUGAGUGAAGUCAGAGACAUGUACUUGGAACUGCAAGCAGUUGGGGAAAGCAGUAUAACGGUGACAAAACAGGAUUUGAAGUUUGACUGACCUGGGUUCAAACCCUAGAUCCAUCGGUUUCCACUGCAUGAUUAUGGUCAUGUCAUUAGCUUCUCCUUGCCUCAGUUUUCUCAUCUGUAAGAUGGGAUAAUGAAAAAAAUCCACCAAAUAGGGUGGUUGAGAGGAUGAAAAGAAAUACAUAUAACAUUGUGUCUGGACCACAUAAAAAGCUGAAUAAAUACUAUUAGCCAGUAGGCAAGUAUAAAUAUGGACCACGAGAAGGCCAAUCUAUGCUAGAGAUGUAAUGUAGGAAACCGUCAACAUAAAGAUGCCUACUGAGGGCAUGAGAGAGAGUGAAGCUGUAUUCACUAGCUUUUGCUGCAUAGCAAAUCAUUCCCAAAUUUUAGUGACUUAAAACAACCGUGUAUUAUUUUUCAUGAGUUUAUAAAUUCUGUGAGGUGGGCGAGGCUUGGCUGAUCUUAGAAGGGCUUGAUCCUGUACCUAUGCUGGCUGGUGGGUUGGCUGAGGCUGGCUGGUCUCAGACAGCCUCACUCAGCAGCUGCUUGGCUGAUGAUUGACAGGAGUGAUUAGACCGUAGAGUUGUCAUCAUCCAAGAGGCUAGCGCAGGCUUGCUCGCACACAGUGAGUCCCAGACUGGGCACUGGCACAGUGUUGCUUUGCCUCCUCUCUUAGCCAAAGUCAGUCAAGGCCAGUCUAGAUUCAAGAGGCAGGUAAAUAGACUCCACCUCCUGAUGGGAAGAAUUGCAAAGUUACAUUACAAAGAACAGAUACAGAGAGAGGUAGCAAAUUGGGACUAUUUUUGCAAAUAAGCUACCAUAGAACCUACUCAAGAUCAGGAUGUAGAAAAAAAAGUGAAGAAAGUUCAGCAUGUAACUCUGUCAUUCAAGGUCAAGAAGGGGUAGAUAGUAGCCUAGAAGAAUAUGGGAAAACCAGGAAAGUAUGGUUUUCAGAAGCUAAUGAGAAGAGAGAGUUUCUAGAAAAGAUAAAUAGUUAACAGCAUCAAGCUGCUGAGAACCCAAGGAACAUAUGACUGUAGA